rnacentral:piRNA from 1 species
UGUACGUGCUUAACCAGUGAAUUCCGUGUU